GGGGGCGACCUGGUUUCGACGGGGCUCAUGUCUGAGUUUAGGUUGCGAGCCGAGAUCCCGGCCGUUCUCGUUAAACAGGCUGGAAAACAACAAUUGCCGAUUCCGAAUUGGCACUGGCCGCUUAGUCUGAUCAAGGCUUAAGCGCCUGUCGCGCCUCCUCGGCCCGUCGUGGAGGGUCGCGGCAUAAACCAGGCGGGCUCACUCUCGGCGAGUGCCGCCGGCGUCGAGGGAAAACUAAGGUGGCUGGCCGGACGCACCCUGCUCCUACGGGGGCGCGAGGCAAGAAACAUAGUAGGGGCUACGCUCGUAGACAUCUAGGCCAGACGAGUUUCGGACGGGGGUUCGAUUCCCCCC
rnacentral:tmRNA from 1 species